rnacentral:rRNA from 1 species
UUGUCCUUAGUUACCAGCACGUUAUGGUGGGCACUCUAAGGAGACUGCCGGUGACAAACCGGAGGAAGGUGGGGAUGACGUCAAGUCAUCAUGGCCCUUACGGCCGUGGGCUACACACGUGCUACAAUGGUCGGUACAAAGGGUUGCCAAGCCGCGAGGUGGAGCUAAUCCCAAUAAAACCGAUCGUAGUCCGGAUCGCAGUCUGCAACUCGACUGCGUGAAGUCGGAAUCGCUAGUAAUCGUGAAUCAGAAUGUCACGGUGAAUACGUUCCCGGGCCUU